AACGGCCGCGGUAUCCUAACCGUGCGAAGGUAGCGUAAUCACUUGUUCUUUAAAUGAGGACUAGUAUGAAUGGCACCACGAGGGUUAAACUGUCUCCUUUUUUUAAUCAGUGAAACUAAUCUCCCCGUGAAGAAGCGGGGAUUCUUUUAUAAGACGAGAAGACCCUAUGGAGCUUUAAACAAGUUAACACCUGCUACUAAUCUUCACUUUCCUGAACCACCACAUUAAGUAUAGCACCUCUGAUUAACAGUUUUCGAUUGGGGUGAUCAUGGAGCAAAAAUCAACCUCCACGACGAAAAGGAACACCUCCUUGAGCCAAAAGCUACAACUUUAAGCACUAAAAAACUAACGCACUUUGACCCAAUUCUUUGAGCAACGAACCAAGUUACCCUAGGGAUAACAGCGCAAUCCACUUUAAGAGCCCCUAUCGACAAGUGGGUUUACGACCUCGAUGUUGGAUCAGGGUAUCCCAGUGGUG
rnacentral:rRNA from 1 species